GAGAAGGACUUGAGGAAAGAUCAGAACUCGAAAUUCGAAAAUCCGAUAUUGAAGAAGCUGGAUUCUUGUUUGGGUGGGGUGUUGGUUGAGGUCUCGACUAAGGAGGACUACACAGGAAAGUCUGGCCAGUCUACUGUUAUUAGGCUUCCUGGUCUUGGCUCGAAGAGGGUUGGCUUGUUUGGGCUUGGACAAUCUGCUUUUGACAGGUCUGACUUUUGACAGUGGUGGCUACAACAUCAAGACAAGACCUGGCUGUUCAAUUGAGCUUAUGAAGGUUGAUAUGGGAGGUUCAGCAGCUGUAUUAGGUGCAGCAAAAGCCAUUGGUCAAAUCAAACCUUCUGGUGUAGAGGUUCAUUUCAUUGUCGCAGCUUGUGAGAAUAUGAUAAGUGGAACAGGUAUGAGGCCUGGGGACAUGGUCACAGCUUCUAAUGGAAAGACCAUUGAGG